rnacentral:lncRNA from 14 species
CAAAAGAAGAAACAACGGACUCCAGGAAGCCCAUCUUUGCUUCUUCCAUUUGCUCUGCCCACUCAGCAAGAUACUCAGAUCUCCUGAAGAACUUUCCACCUUCCCAGACCUCCAACCCCAGUAAAUUACUUUUCUCUUCUUGGUUACAAGAUGGCGGUCUCACCUUCAAUCUUGUGAUCUAUGUAUCAUGACAGAGAUCUGCCACACCGCUUAUAUUAAAAGUCACAAAUCCAC